UACGGAGGGGACUAGCGUUGUUCGGAAUUACUGGGCGUAAAGCGCACGUAGGCGGAUUAGCAAGUCAGGGGUGAAAUCCCGGGGCUCAACCUCGGAACUGCCUCUGAUACUGCCAGUCUAGAGUCCGGAAGAGGUGGGUGGAAUUCCUAGUGUAGAGGUGAAAUUCGCAGAUAUUAGGAAGAACACCGGUGGCGAAGGCGGCCCACUGGUCCGGUACUGACGCUGAGGUGCGAAAGCGUGGGGAGCAAACAGG
rnacentral:rRNA from 1 species